rnacentral:lncRNA from 1 species
ACGCAUAAAUCGCAUCAGGCGCUGUCGUACGCCGGACCAACGAUGCAUCAUAACAUCUACUAGUUGUUAAAAAGGCGGCGGGGAAAGGAGCAUCCAUACGCGCACGCAAUUAGGACCCCGCCGUGAGAUGCGUCGGUGGCUGUGAGGCAGGUGGGGACAUGCCUGGGAGGCUGAAAGGGCAUAAAUCGCAUCAGGAGCCGUCGUACGCCGGACCAACGAUGCAUCAUAAUAUCAACUAGUUGUUAAAAAGGCGGCGAGGAACGCGUCUUCAUCAGUCACGCUCGCUAGGCAACCAUCAUGGGGAAGGGAUGUAAGACCGUCAUCCUCUGGGAUGGGUCGAACUACUCCCACUGGCUCGGCGACUUAGGCGAUUUCCUCGCAACAUCCAAGUUGAAGAGCUACAUCAACAGCCCG